UACAGGGGGGGCAAGCGUUGUUCGGAAUUACUGGGCGUAAAGGGCGCGUAGGCGGGCUGUCAAGUCCGGGGUGAAAUCCUCCCGCUCAACGGGAGAACGGCCUCGGAUACUGACGAUCUCGAGGGGGAUAGGGGCACGCGGAACUGUGGGUGGAGCGGUGAAAUGCGUUGAUAUCCAUAGGAACUCCGGUGGCGAAGGCGGCGUGCUGGAUCCCUUCUGACGCUGAGGCGCGAAAGCCAGGGGAGCAAACGGG
rnacentral:rRNA from 1 species